UAAAAAGGUGAAAGCACGUUCAAAGAUGUCAACACCUCACCUGAUUGGUCAGAAGAAAAAGUCCUGUCCACCAGAGCUCAUGUCUUUCCUUCGGUGCUUGCUUGCAGAUUUUUGUUUUUAACUGCUGAACUUUUGACACAGAUACCUUAAUACCUCUCCAGAAGUUCCUGUUUCACCGGUUGAAUGGUUGUUGCCAGCCUCCCCCAGCAACUCACCGACAGGAGAGACCUGGGAGUAGACUACAAGGAGCUGAACCAGUGCUUGCAGAGGUAUUACCAAGGUGACACUAUCACAACCUGCUUUUGCUGUACCCAACAUGCUUCAUAUCAUUGAGCGAGAUUCUUGUGUCUCUGCUGCAGGAUCUGAGAAACAUGCAGGAACGGCCACACUGGCAUUGUAUCUUACUUCAUGCAAAUUUGAAUCAAUAUAUCAUAGUUAUAUUUGUUCUGGCACUACAUUCAGAGGGUCAAGCAUGUACAUUCUGUUGACAGACCAACUAAAGUCAUUAUAGCUUGACUAAAACUUGGCCAUAAACAUUGUUUGACAUGCUGUCUUGAUGUUGUCAUGGUCCCUGUCAUCGUCAUGCAGCGUCCUGAUCGAGGCGCCCAGGGUCCUGGUGAUGUCACAUUACAUUCCCAACAAGAUGUUUCAGCAGUAGAGCUGCAAGGUGCUGAACGUGCAGCCCAGGGUGGGAGGGGCUUCAAGUAGGGACAGGCUGAUGCCGAGGAGGAGGACACAGAAACACUGGUCAGCACUGGGAAACCACCUCCUCAAAGCAACCAACGCGAGUCAUCAAUUGCAACAUUGCCACUGGUGGUCAAACUAUAGAGACAGACUUAUCUAAUCAAGUCUUGGGUUCAUUGUGGGGAAGAUCUAAUGAUAGAUAGUUACCAGCCACAUGCUAAUUUUUAAAGAAAUUAGGCCUACUAUAGAUUUAAAUUUGGAAUCCCUUAUCACUGACUGACCAUUUGUUUUGAUGUCUCCAUCAUCUCUCUAUGGGUACAAGGUUCAAAGAUGCCUCCGGGCUUUGUAUUGAAUGAGAUACCAGAGAUGAUAGUUCCUCCGGACGUCCUGGUCCAGCACCUGUCCAGAGGAGAACUUCUAUGCCCCAAGCAGUACACUCUUACAAAAAAUGGUUCCAAAAGGGUUCUCUGGCUGUCCCCGUAGGAUAACCCUUUUUGGUUCCAGGUAGAACCGUUUUGGGUUCCAUGUAGAACCAUUUGUGGAAAGGCUUCUAAAUGGAACCCACAAGGGUUCUACCUGGAACCAAAAAAUAUUCAAAGGGUUCUCCUAUGGGGCAGCAGAAGAACCCUUUUAGGGUUCUAGAUAGCACCUUUUUUUCUAAGUGUGUACCUGCGGGCCUAUCACACCCUUCGCCACAUCCUCGUGGACUGGUGAGCAGGACUUUACACACUCAUCAACAGGGCUGGUUAACUCCAUUUGAAUUCAGUGAAUUUAAUAAGUUAUAUGAAGUUCCAGUACAUUAAUUAAUUGAACAAAUUGCCAAUGAAAGUCAAUGGCUCUCAGAUUGUUACAUGGGUCACAUUACCUGAUAACUUUGAUACCUAAACAUUACCACAUGCUGUAUGUUCUGUGAUUGUUCAAAGGGCAUGUGUUUGGAAGCGGUUUAGUGUUUGUCCCAAAGGUCAAAGGUAUGGGUCUGUCAGCAUGUCACAUCAAACCAAUGCACAAGUCUAACAUUGCAUGCGUCAUCUCACUUUUGACCUGAAUGACUUUGAAUGGAUUCUGAAUGAAGGAUAUUUUGAUUCCGGCACAAUAUAUUUCUGUGUACCACAGAGAUUCUGAGGUUAUGCUGUGCAUAUAAUUUGGGGUUCACAGCGUACCUGUUGUUAUUGUCUGAGUUCUAUUAUUAUUAUUUGACAUGGUCAAAUAACUCAAGCAUAGAUUGGUUGUACCUUGUUAAGUUUGGCAUUGAUAUCUUAAAAUAUAAGAAAAGUGUUAACAAUUCCCUUUUUUGACUAUGUAAUGCUAAUGCAACCUCUUAAGGAUCGGACCCUUUUUUUCAAUUUCCGCCUAAAAUUACAUACCCAGGUCUAAUUAAAAUAAUCAUGAAAAAUCUUCUCCUCAUGAAAGUCAGAUUCACUCCAAAUUUGGACUUUGGACUCAUCACAAUAGUCAUCACUCAUCACAACACUAAAGAAUGUGAGAAAAUAACAUAUGCUAAUAUGCUAAAAAUACUUUAAAAAUCUUCCCAUGAAGGACCAAAUUACAAAUCACACGAAAUGUGGAAUGCAGGCACAUGGUACAUGUCUUAACUAAGUUUGAGAAAAGGGAUUGGUCAAAGAAUGUCUGAGUUAUUGACAAAUAAGAAAUCAGAUUUUACGUGUCCAUUUAAACCACUGUUUAUCCACUCCACAGUCGCCUAUCAACUUGAAACGUGUCCUUGCUAUCAUGGACGUCCAUAAGAUGAACCACACUUAAUGUGGUAUUGAUAUUUCAAAAUGCAAGGAAACUAUUAACAACUAAUGAUUUGCAUAUGUGUUGCUAAUGCUCAAAAUCAUCCCAGCUGUAUUUAUUUACUUCCUUGUCUUUGUCUUGUGUUCUUGUCCUUGACAAAGGCCUCUGCAUGUAGACUUUUAUAUAAGGGUUGAUUUUGUGGACACUGCCUGUUAGGAUGAUUCAUUCACAUGUUUUAUAUUAUUUCCACAGAGCGUACUUGGUCUCCACCUGAGCACCUUAGAUGUGAAUUCUGACUUCUGAUGUGAUACAAAUGGACAUUUUCAUGUGUUUCCUACUCAAUAUGUUUUCAGGGUUCAUGCCUGGUUAUUUGUAUGUGUUAUUGAGAACUGCCAUUAAUCUGGACUGUGUGGAACAUUAAACUCAAACUAAUUUUCCUUGCUCCUAAAACUAUAGCUUUAAAAUACACAGGGACUGCGGGAUUGGUUUUGUUGUAU